ensembl:lncRNA
CUGUGGUGAUUUUUGUGAAUUACAAACGAGUCUAAUGAUCCUAAACUGGUGUCGCCCUCCUGUGGUGAUUUUUGUGAAUUACAAUCGAGUCUAAUGAAUUUAAACUGGUUUCGCCCUCGUGUGGUGAUUUUUGUGAAUUACAAUCGAGUCUAAUGAUCUUAAACUGGUUUCGCCCUCGUGUGGUGAUUUUUGUGAAUUACAAUCAAGUCUAAUGAUCUUAAACUGGUUUCGCCCUCCUGUGGUGAUUUUUGUGAAUUACAAUCGAGUCUAAUGAUCUUAAACUGGUUUCGCCCUCGUGUGGUCAUUCAGCUCCACAGACUCAGUGGUUCAGUUGAUAAAGCUUUGUGUUUUACUCCGGGAGAUCUGAGUUCAAAUCCCACUACUGCUUACUUUAAAUUGAUCUCAGACAACAAAGUCACUCAAACGCCAAAAAACAACAAGGAAUCCAUGAUGGAGUCAUGUUGUCAAGCAUCCGAAGCUGUCAAACUAAACUGAAGCCCGAUGAUGCCGCUUGGUGGAGCGGAUGAAAAACUGCACUUCUGUUCUUACCUUAAAAGCCAUAU